UAGGGCUGUAUGCAGGCGAUGUAGGGCUGUAUGAGGGCGAGGUAGGGCUGUAUGAGGGCGACGUGGGGCUGUAUGAGGGCGACGUGGGGCUGUAUGAGGGUGAUGUCGGGCUGUAUGAGGGCGAUGUCGGGCUGUAUGAGGGAGAAGUAGGGCUGUAUGAUGGCGACGUUGGGCUGUAAGAUGGCGACGUCGGGCUGUAUGCAGGAGAUGUCGGGCUGUAUGCUGGCGAGGUCGGACUAUAAACCGGUGAUGUUGGACUAUAGCUCGGCGAUGUGGGGCUAUAGCUUGGUGAUGUUGGGCUGUAGCUCGGAGAUGUGGGGCUGUAGCUAGGAGAUGUGGGGCUGUAGCUCGGGGAUGUUGGCGAGUAUGAUGGACUGGUCGGAGAGUAUGAUGGACUGGUCGGGCUGUAGGAAGGAGAGCCAGGCGUAUAUGAUGGAGAGGUGGGGCUGUAGCUGGGCGAUGCAGGGCUGUAUGAUGGAGAAGUGGGACUGUAACCAUGUCC
rnacentral:lncRNA from 1 species